CAGGUACUCCCUCCGUCCGAAAAUACUUGUCGAAGAAAUGAAUAAAAGUGAAAGUAUCUAGAACUAAAAUACGUCUAGAUACAUCCAUUUCUCCGACGAGUAUUUCUGGACGGAGGGAGUAUUAU
rfam:Triticum aestivum genome assembly, contig: Triticum_aestivum_CS42_TGACv1_scaffold_034261_1BL